rnacentral:rRNA from 1 species
AGUCUUGAGUACAGUAGAGGUGGGCGGAAUUCGUGGUGUAGCGGUGAAAUGCUUAGAUAUCACGAAGAACUCCGAUUGCGAAGGCAGCUCACUAGACUGCAACUGACACUGAUGCUCGAAAGUGUGGGUAUCAAACAGGAUUAGAUACCCUGGUAGUCCACACAGUAAACGAUGAAUACUCGCUGUUUGCGAUAUACAGUAAGCGGCCAAGCGAAAGCAUUAAGUAUUCCACCUGGGGAGUACGCCGGCAACGGUGAAACUCAAAGGAAUUGACGGGGGCCCGCACAAGCGGAGGAACAUGUGGUUUAAUUCGAUGAUACGCGAGGAACCUUACCCGGGCUUAAAUUGCAUUUGAAUAAUCUGGAAACAGGUUAGCCGCAAGGCAAAUGUGAAGGUGCUGCAUGGUUGUCGUCAGCUCGUGCCGUGAGGUGUCGGCUUAAGUGCCAUAACGAGCGCAACCCUUAUCUUUAGUUACUAACAGGUUAUGCUGAGGACUCUAGAGAGACUGCCGUCGUAAGAUGUGAGGAAGGUGGGGAUGACGUCAAAUCAGCACGGCCCUUACGUCCGGGGCUACACACGUGUUACAAUGGGGGGUACAGAAGGCAGCUACCUGGCGACAGGAUGCUAAUCCCAAAAACCUCUCUCAGUUCGGAUCGAAGUCUGCAACCCGACUUCGUGAAGCUGGAUUCGCUAGUAAUCGCGCAUCAGCCA